rnacentral:miRNA from 1 species
GCUGAGUGGGGAGGAGAGAGGGACAGAGAGCCUGCUUCUUUAAAGGAGCAAAGCGGGAGAGGAGAGGAGUCCAGUUGGCUCCUUUAAUGCAAGCAGGCUCUCUGUCCCUCUCUCCUCCCCACUCAGC